GCGCUUGUAGCUCAACGGAUAGAGCGCAGCCCUGCGAAGGCUGAGGUUGUGGGUUCAAUUCCCGCCAAGCGCGCCA
rnacentral:tRNA from 1 species